CCUACGGGAGGCAGCAGUGGGGAAUAUUGCACAAUGGGGGGAACCCUGAUGCAGCGACGCCGCGUGAGUGAAGAAGUAUUUCGGUAUGUAAAGCUCUAUCAGCAGGGAAGAAAAUGACGGUACCUGACUAAGAAGCCCCGGCUAACUACGUGCCAGCAGCCGCGGUAAUACGUAGGGGGCAAGCGUUAUCCGGAUUUACUGGGUGUAAAGGGAGCGCAGACGGCUGUGCAAGUCUGGAGUGAAAGGCUGGGGCCCAACCCCCGGACUGCUCUGGAAACUGUAAAGCUGGAGUGCAGGAGAGGUAAGCGGAAUUCCUAGUGUAGCGGUGAAAUGCGUAGAUAUUAGGAGGAACACCAGUGGCGAAGGCGGCUUACUGGACUGCAACUGACGUUGAGGCUCGAAAGCGUGGGGAGCAAACAGGAUUAGAUACCCGGGUAGUC
rnacentral:rRNA from 1 species